rnacentral:rRNA from 1 species
CCUACGGGAGGCAGCAGUGGGGAAUAUUGCACAAUGGGGGAAACCCUGAUGCAGCGACGCCGCGUGAGUGAAGAAGUAUCUCGGUACGUAAAGCUCUAUCAGCAGGGAAGAUAAUGACGGUACCUGACGAAGAAGCCCCGGCUAACUACGUGCCAGCAGCCGCGGUAAUACGUAGGGGGCAAGCGUUAUCCGGAGUUACUGGGUGUAAAGGGAGCGUAGACGGCAGCACAAGUCUGGAGUGAAAUCCCGGGGCCUCACCCCGGAACUGCUUUGGAAACUGUGCGGCUGGAGUGCAGGAUGGGUAAGCGGAAUUCCUAGUGUAGCGGUGAAAUGCGUAGAUAUUAGGAGGAACACCGGUGGCGAAGGCGGCUUACUGGACUGUAACUGACGUUGAGGCUCGAAAGCGUGGGGAGCAAACAGGAUUAGAUACCCCUGUUAGUC